UACGUAGGGGGGCAAGCGUUGUCCGGAAUCAUUGGGCGUAAAGCGCACGCAGGCGGUCUGCUAAGUUUGGAGUGACAGUUGGUGGCUUAACUGCCAAAGUGCUUCGAAAACUGACAGACUUGAGGGCUUCAGAGGGACACGGAAUUCCGGGUGGAGUGGUGAAAUGCGUAGAGAUCCGGAGGAACACCAAAGGCGAAGGCAGUGUCCUGGGGAGUACCUGACGCUCAGGUGCGAAAGCCAGGGGAGCGAACGGG
rnacentral:rRNA from 1 species